rnacentral:misc_RNA from 1 species
AAAAUCCACAAUUCUUUCAGUGUUGCACUUCAGAUUCUUCAUUGAUUUUUUGCAGCAAAACUUCUAAUGCUGCCACAAUUAUCCGAACAGAAUUUAUAAAUUUUAGGUUUAAUGCCCAAAAAAAAGUCCGAACUUCAGCACAUUUUUUUCAAUUUGACCAAACCUUUUUAAUUUUAACAAUUUUAGCCCAAUUAGAGAAUUGCUUUCAGUUUUAGCCAACAGAUAAAAAUUAAUAUAUAAUUACUGAUUGGAAUUUUUAAAAAAAAGUAAUAAUAAUAAUAA